UACAGAGGGUGCGCGCGUUAAUCGGAAUUACUGGGCGUAAAGCGCGCGUAGGCGGUUUUGUAAGUCGGGUGUGAAAUCCCCAAGCUUAACUUGGGAACUGCAUUCGAGACUGCAUAGCUAGAGUAUGGGAGAGGGAAGUGGAAUUUCCGGUGUAGCGGUGAAAUGCGUAGAUAUCGGAAGGAACAUCAGUGGCGAAGGCGACUUCCUGGACCAAUACUGACGCUCAGGUGCGAAAGCGUGGGGAGCAAACAGG
rnacentral:rRNA from 1 species